ACCUCGGAUCAGGUAGGGAUACCCGCUGAACUUAAGCAUAUCAU
rnacentral:rRNA from 1 species